CCCUUAGAUGUUCUGGGCCGCACGCGCGCUACACUGGUGCGUUCAACAAGUUUACAACCUUGAUUGACAAGUCUGGGUAAUCUUUUGAAUGCGCACCGUGCUAGGGAUAGAUUAUUGCAAUUAUUAAUCUUGAACGAGGAAUUCCUAGUAAACGCAAGUCAUCAGCUUGCAUUGAUUACGUCCCUGCCCUUUGUACACACCGCCCGUCGCUCCUACCGAUUGAAUGUGUUGGUGAGGAGCUCGGAUUGGCAGCAGUUGGUGGUUCGCCACCGGCUAUUGCUGAGAAGUCCUCCAAACCGCCCCAUUUAGAGGAAGGAGAAGUCGUAACA
rnacentral:rRNA from 1 species